AGAGUUUGAUCCUGGCUCAGGAGGACCUCUGGCGGCGUGCUUAACACAUGCAAGUCGAACGGGGUUUAACCUAAAGUUUACUUUAAGUUAAACCUAGUGGCGGACGGGUGAGUAACGCGUGGACAACCUACCCCAUAGUCUGGGAUAACGCCGGGAAACCGGUGCUAAUACCGGAUACGUUCAUCGAAUCGCAUGAUACGAUGAAGAAAGGUGCAAACCACUAUCGGAUGGAUCCGCGUCCCAUUAGCUAGUUGGUAGGGUAACGGCCUACCAAGGCAACGAUCAGUAGCCGGCCUGAGAGGGUGGACGGCCACACUGGGACUGAGACACGGCCCAGACUCCUACGGGAGGCAGCAGUGGGGAAUAUUGCGCAAUGGGGGAAACCCUGACGCAGCGACGCCGCGUGAGCGAAGAAGGCCUUAGGGUCGUAAAGCUCUGUUUUAAGGGACGAAUAUCUUCAGUAGUAACUGACUGAGGAAUGACGGUACCUUAAGAGAAAGCCCCGGCUAACUACGUGCCAGCAGCCGCGGUAAGACGUAGGGGGCGAGCGUUGUCCGGAAUUACUGGGCGUAAAGAGCACGUAGGCGGGAUUUUAAGUCAGGUGUGAAAGACCGUGGCUCAACCACGGGGUUGCACAUGAAACUGGAAUUCUUGAGGGCAGGAGAGGAAAGUGGAAUUCCUGGUGUAGCGGUGAAAUGCGUAGAAAUCAGGAGGAACACCGGUGGCGAAGGCGACUUUCUGGACUGACCCUGACGCUGAGGUGCGAAAGCGUGGGUAGCAAACAGGAUUCGAUACCCUGGUAGUCCACGC
rnacentral:rRNA from 1 species